rnacentral:sRNA from 1 species
CUCAUGAGUCUUGUUUACUAUGGUUUGC